rnacentral:lncRNA from 1 species
GGUAGCGAGUACACGGUGCCUACAUACAUGAUGGAGUGGGUCGUAGGGAUGUGGCCGAGAGUCGGGGGAAAGCCAUGGGAGGGUUGUACGCAUCUGUACAUUCCGGUGUGUGUCAAUCAUCACUACAUUGCAGUGGAGAUUGUAUUUGCCGACUUGACUAUGUAUGUGUAUAACCCCAAUCAUUCAUGCCUGACACAAGGUCAGCUCGAGCAAAAUCUGGAGUCGGUGUCUGUGAUCGUCCCCACGCUGGCUAGACGUGCGAACAUUAUUGUGCAGGACAGAUUAGUCACCGUGCGGGACACGACGACGGCGAGACAACAAAUAUCGUAAGUGUUUAUUAUUUUAUUUUUGUAAUUUACAACUCACGUUCUAGUUAAAUAGUGAUGUGCUAAUACGAUAUUUUGUAAUUGUCGGGGUGAUUGCGGCAUAUUCGCUAUCAAGUACAUAGAAUUUUUGAGUGUAGCACAAAAGGUUGACGUAGUCAACCAGGCGUGGAUACAAAAUUGGAGAAAUAAAUUAGCUUGUAAUUUAUUUGAAUUUAAUGGUGAUCCGUAGAUAUUGAGUCGUAUUUCUUUAAAAUAAUUGUACAUAUUGUAACGUUUAAACAUUGUAUAUUUCAUUUAUUCAUUCAUUUGUAAUUACGAAAUAAUUGUAAAACAUAUAUUAUUUUUUUAAUAUUUAAAUUUUGUUUCUUAGUUUAUGUGUUUAUUUAAAUGUUUCAUGACGUAUUUAUAAUGUUUGGGUAUAUUAUAGAGAACGCACUGAGUUUUAAAAAAUGAUUAACUUCAAAUAUUACGCAACUAAUUAAUGAAAUAUUAAAAUAAAAAAACUAAAUCUAAUAAUUAACAUAAAUAAUUAACAUUAAGAAUAUGCGUGAAUAAUUAAUAUCAAUGUUAUAAAUAAUGUUACAUAAAUUUCGAUUAUACAUCUGGUACAUGCAGAGAGAUUUAACUUAUACAAAAUCUUCUAGUAUGUCCCGUUGCACCACACCUACCGCACUUACGAGGUCGAAAUUUUUUUUCGAUCGAUGGUAUUCUAGACGUACAUGUACGUUCAGGAGUACGUGGGCCAAUUGCUGGUGGCAACAAGUUAUUCAAUGAGAGAAUGUGAUCAGGAACUUCCCACUCGGCUUCAUUCGGUACAAAAAAUAUGGUUUCGGCAUAUGCUGUUCUCCAAGAACCAGUCGUGUAAUGAGCACUGCAUAAGGUGUGUGGUGGAAUUCCUCUAUACAUAGCCAUCGCCACUGCAUGUGUACACGAAAAACUCUCCAACUGAAACUGUCUACACGUGCACGUGUUAUCAUUCCAGUCGAUGAUGUAUUCGAAAUUACGUGCACAUCUCGCGGAGAAGCGAAACUGAUGUAGUGGUUCUACAUAUACCUUCCUUGCCACCUCUAGAGUCUUGAAGAGUUUAUCUUCCUAACCCGGGGUUAGCACACUUAUGCAACUCUGUGAUUCCUCACGACGAUCAUGAAACCACUGUUGCAACUUGUCACGAAUGUUCUCACGUAUUGCGAGAAUUGGUAACACUCAAUCCUUCUUAAAUAAGACAUUAAGCGACUCCGCAUUGUUCGACGUCAUUAUGUUGUAUCGACGUCCUGAAAAAUGUAAUCGUGCCCAAUGUUCGAUCCCCAUCUCCGUCAUAUACUCCCAUGCAUCAUAGGAUUUACUUUUGAUUUCAACCAUAAACUUUUCAAACUCUUGAAAACUGUAAGCCUCUGCAGCUCUCCUAAACAAUGUAACGAUGCCCUUGCCUCGAUACUUGGUCUUCAGAUUUCCUUGUAUAUGGUACAUACAAUAACCAUGAUGUGCCUCGGGGAAAACUUCGACGAUACCGUUAAUUAUUGACUGCCCUCGGUCGGAUACGAAUGCAAGGUUCUCAACAUCCCCAAUUACUUCCCUCAACUUCGUAAAAAAUCAACGCAUUGCCAAAUCAUUUUCUCCAUCAACUAUGCCGAAUGUAAGAGGGUAAAUUUGGAUGUUAGCAUCUUGACACGUUGCAAUAAUCAACUUGCCCCCGUAUCUCGCCUUGAGGGUUGUACCGUCCACUAGAAUUAAGGGUCGCAUUGCGUUUCGAAAUCCUCGAACGCAUUAUCCAAGGGCCAUAAAGAAAUACUUGAAGCGAUUCUCGUCAUCCUUCUCAAUAAAAAAUGCCGAUUCAGUAUUAAUUCUUCCCAUAUUAUAGCAAAACCUGACCAAUUAAAUAAACAAUAAUCAUAAUAUAAAUAAUUAAAUAAACAAUAUUAAAAAAAAUGAAAAAUUAACAAUUGAAUUAAAUAAUUAAUUACACAUUAGAUAAAGAUUCGAUAAAUAAUUAAAUAAACAAUUGAAAUUAAUAACUGGCCAAUUUAGCAUAACUCUCCUCGGUCGAACCCAUCAAGUCCUCCAACGCAUAUUCUUUGGCCUUAAAAGCCUUCUGAUAGGUCAUGACCACCCCGUACUCUCGACGAAUGUCAUUAAUAAUGUCCGAAUGUCUGUAGAUUGUUCGUGGGUCCUGAAAUUUGUGCAUUACUUCUCGACCAAUGAACCAUGAUCGGGCUUGCCUAUGAUCAUUUCGACGAAUACCCACUUCACAAGUAUGUUCUCGUGCAUACUUACGAACCACAAAGAACUCAUUCGUAUCCAUUUUCGUCGCUCGCAAACGCCAAAGGCAACUGUCGUCAACGCAGACAAUUGUGUAAGUCGACUUGUUUGAUUUCUUCACUUUAAACUUAAAAUUGUGUUUCAAAGCAAUCCGGUGAACAGCUUCCUGCAAAUCUUUCUUCGUGUCAAACAGUUGCUCGACAUACAAAUCUUCAUCAUCACGGACUAUACGCGAACAAUUAGAGGACCGUGCACUCGGUCCAGCCUGUGAGCUCCCACUCGACGCAUGUCUCAAACUGGAUAAAGCAAUCAAAUUCUCAUUUGUAAAGUCAUUAUCUCUUUUGUUAUCUUGAGCUACCGAGCAAAUUCUGUGUGUAACAGUAACAUCAAGGUGAGGAGCAACUGUCUCUGGAACAGCUACAACAUCAUCAUGCACUAUUUCCACUGUGUCCCAAAACUCAUUCACAUUACGGUCCCCUCCAUCGAAAUCUAUCUGUUCACUUUCGGGGACAUUCUUCUUCAUCAAAGUUACGCAAAUAGGAAUCGCACGUUUCUGAUUCAUUUCAAUUAAAACCUUCAUUUCAGUUUCAAAAGUAACCGUUAUAGGUGGAAUUGAAAUGGAUGUAUUCUCGCCCAUUAGAAAUCCCAAUUCCAUGGCGUACUCAGAGGGAUCGACUUUCAACAAGUUCUGUAUCUCAUUGUACAUUUCUGCAUAUGAUGUACUGGAUGUUAUUACAAUUGUAGUACAACCAUGUCUUUCACUCGUCCAUUUCCACACCUAUUGAUCAUUGUUAUUAUUUUCAAAUUCACCAAAAUAACAUAUUGGGACAGCAGCUGCUCCCAUAUCUGCAUUACGAAACAUCAUUUAAUAAAAAAAUUGUAAUUACGAGAAUAAAAAGACGAAAAAAAUUACGUGUAAUAGCCGGCCCCAAUUUGGGCCGGCUGUUAAACAUCCGGCCCGGAUACAAAAAUUUGACUAUUUGCAUUUGUACAGAUGAAUUUUUUUCCUCAUUUUUGCUAAAAAAUAUAAUUUUACAUCCAUUCAAGACUGUAAUAUUUCAUUUUUCUAAAAUUAUAUGUUGAAAUAAAAUUUAAAUAUUCAAACAAUAUACUAAUUUAACUAAAAUGAAAUUAAACAUACGUAUUUAUACUUACCAAAUUCAAGUGCCGACUGUGAGUAAUACUUUUUUGUUGAGUUUUUGAUAAUUUUUUGAGAUUUCAAUGUUCAAGCAGAUGGAAGAGGAAAUUUCUUUUUAACUGUGUUGAAAAAUCUGAUAAGAAAAGUGAUGUCGUUUUGAGAUUUAAGUGGGAUUGUUUGGAUUUAUUAAUUUUUUAAAGAUGGUAUUAUUGUCUUUUAGACAAAUGAUAUAUUUUUGUAAUUACAACACAUAGCAAGGACAAAAUUGACAUUUACCCUUCAAAAUGCCAUUUUGGUGAAUGGCAAAAAAAGUUGGUCAAUGUGAAAAAUUGUUGUUUUGACUUGGUUAUUUUAAAAAGUACCCCGUCUAGCAUUUGGAACCUUCCUUAAUGACGCUUUCAGGAAACGAUGGUGUAAACAGAUUGAACACGUAAUAACUUACAUGCUGUAAAGACGCUUUUGCUUGAAGUAAGCUUCUUGCUAUAGCUGAUUUUCAUGCUUAUUUGUGUUUCCCCUAUCUGAUUAUUGAUCAAUCCUAUCAAGUCUUGUGGGCAGUAGAUGUGAAGGUACCAAUGCUUUGAUGAUGCAAAUAGUAAAUGACUAUUCGGUGUUUACGUGGCACUUUUAUAUCUAUGCGACAUGCAUAUUCAAUUUUUCUUGCUUUCCAUGUACGGAGAACCUGGGUUGCGAGAAAUUUAGUAUUUUAUAAUAUAUGAUCUUGAUCUUUCACUGGGUUGAGAUUCCCCUCUUGACCAUUUACCCAAUGACUUAUGGUGAAUACAGCUGAUAUUUUGCUUAUGACAUUUUUUUUGUUUGUUGAACUCUGUAUACUUUCAGUUGUAUGAUGGUGUUUGUGUUUUCAGCUUGAGGAGUACAUACAGACUGUUUCUCUUUCUAGAGAUUGGGUGAAGCUUGUUGGUGGUUGUUUAACUGAAUCUUCUGCCCCUCAAAGUGCAGCCAGUGCUGCUGGAUCUACUCAGAAGCAUAGAUCAGGGAGGCGUGGCAGGAAGCCAUCUGCUGCGGCUGAAGUUGCUAUUGAUUGCCAGGACUUGUUGAGUGAUUUCACUUGUGGCGAGGAGAAACACUAUUAAAGCGAAUAUUCCAGAGAAGGAUUCUUCCGUGUUCAAUUAUAAAAAAUACAGUCCGACAAGGUAAUAUACACACUCCUUGCUUUUUUUGUUUUAUGGGAAAAACCCAUUGCACGGUACCUUUGUUUGUGAUGUUUGCACUGUAGAAUUACCAUUUCGAUAGAUCUAAAAGUAGUUUAUGUUAGCAUACGAGUGGUUCAAAAUAGAUACCUAGUAUUCAUUAUGUCAAAGGUUAUGAGACUCCCAAAAGAAGCAGGCAGCUUGUCUGGCGGUCAGCAGUUGAGAUGAGUAGGAAUGCAGCACGGCUUUCACUUCAGUUGCAUUUUGUCAUUUAACUUUUGUAUCCUGGCUAUAUGUUUGUGCCAUUCUUUAAUUUCUUCUGGCAGCAAUCAGGUUUGCUGCAAUGUGAUGAUACUUCCCCUAAUACAUAUAAUUAGCUCUUGCAUCAGGUCAGAUACCUUGAUUUUCUUGUCAGAUGGGACGAUCUUGUUCAUCCAGAAAAGAUUCCCUUUGAUGGGAAAGGUCUAGAAAUAAAAACUUCUUGUUCGUGUGAAACCCGCAAGCCUACGAGAUCGUUGACAAGUAAUGGAAAUCAGUGAGUUAGGAGUUUAUCGUCCCACAUGAAUAAGGUCUAAUUCAGGUUUAAUAGCUUUUAUCAAGUUUGACUCUAGUAAUAUCAAAAGAGUGACUUGUGAUCUAUUCUAAUUUGUACUACUAAAGCAAGUAAAUUGUGAUUUAAGUGAAUGUGAAUGCUUGUAUUGGAUUCCUGAUUCUUCUAUUUUCAUCCAUUUCAAUUAUCAAUUAAUAAUCUAAUCAAUUUCAUGCAUUUUUUUGCAACCGAUAACGC